AUCGCUUCUGGCCUAAUGGCUAAGAUCAAAGUGUAGUAUCUGUUCUUAUCAGCUUAAUAUCUGGUACAAGUCCCAUGCGGACUUCAGUAUAUUAAACUGAUUUUUGGAAAUGGAUGAUUUCCUAGAGCUUGCUCUGGAUUCAUCACGGGUCGUCCCGGUCUUGCAGUACCGCCGGGAUCGGCUCACAUUAA